GUCCAAUUCAGAGAUUUCCUGACUUUGCUUUCUCCUGCCUCCCUAAUCUCUCACCAACGAAUUUCAUGUAACUCCCUCAUGCCUUCCCCUUUUAUUAAGCAGGAAAGAUGGCAAACAAAG